UGAUUAUAGUACUAGCUAGAAAUUUCACUUGCUUUCAACACCAACACCAGUAUUGAUACUUUCUCAACCAAUAGAGUACUUUUGAGCAUGAGAGAACAUUUUCCACGUCAUCCAUUCCUCAAAUCUCCGGCGACCGCGGCUUGUAAGUCAUCCGUUAAUGCCGUUUGCAGCCUCGCUAUGCCAACGUUUUUCUCACAGGACAUGAUGAUGGGAAAAAUAAAAGACAAUUGUUCAAGGCAAAGGA